rnacentral:misc_RNA from 1 species
AUAAAAGGAGGAAAGCCGCAAUUGACGAACUCAUUACAGCAGUGAAUCAAUAAAAACGCCCUACAAAACUUUGAUAUCAAAGUAUUAUUGCUGUCCGACAAAGUAUUAUCCCAGAUGUAGCAAAAAUUUCAUGAAAUUAACCACCAAUAACUAGCUUGAUCUUCAAAUGUCAAGAAGCAGCCUGCGUGGGUCCUCCACCACAUCUUUGAUACGACGCAAGAAGAAAACUGCCUCUCUUCCAUCAAUCAGCCUAUGGUCAUAUGUUAGAGCAAUAUACAUCAUUGGCCUAGGGACAAUAUUGCCUCCAACCACCAUUGGACGGUUCACUAUUGAAUGCAUGCCCAAAAUAGCGGACUGAGGAGGGUUAAUGAUAGGUGUACUCAAAAGACUUCCAUAAACUCCUCCAUUAGAUAUUGUAAAUGAACCUCCAGCCAUCUC